UGGUUUGUUCCUUUUCUUAUAGCCGCACAAGUGUUCCACCUCUAUAGGUAUCCCCACAGAGUGAGGGCCGAUCAGUAACCUUCUUGAUCCUCCAAGGUGCUAGUUCCCUUGCAGAACUUUUGCUUGAAGGAAGAAUCUUCUCAACACUUUAAGAAUAGCAGCAGGACUUGGGCUUCUUCAAGAUGUCUCUUUGUUAAAAUCUGAUUUCAGCAAUAACUAGGAAGAGAGAGACUCCUUGGGCAUGGAGAAGAG
rnacentral:lncRNA from 1 species